rnacentral:rRNA from 1 species
GAUGAACGCUGGCGGCGUGCCUAAUACAUGCAAGUCGAGCGAACGGACGAGAAGCUUGCUUCUCUGAUGUUAGCGGCGGACGGGUGAGUAACACGUGGAUAACCUACCUAUAAGACUGGGAUAACUUCGGGAAACCGGAGCUAAUACCGGAUGAUAUUUUGAACCGCAUGGUUCAAAAGUGAAAGACGGUCUUGCUGUCACUUAUAGAUGGAUCCGCGCUGCAUUAGCUAGUUGGUAAGGUAACGGCUUACCAAGGCAACGAUGCAUAGCCGACCUGAGAGGGUGAUCGGCCACACUGGAACUGAGACACGGUCCAGACUCCUACGGGAGGCAGCAGUAGGGAAUCUUCCGCAAUGGGCGAAAGCCUGACGGAGCAACGCCGCGUGAGUGAUGAAGGUCUUCGGAUCGUAAAACUCUGUUAUUAGGGAAGAACAUAUGUGUAAGUAACUGUGCACAUCUUGACGGUACCUAAUCAGAAAGCCACGGCUAACUACGUGCCAGCAGCCGCGGUAAUACGUAGGUGGCAAGCGUUAUCCGGAAUUAUUGGGCGUAAAGCGCGCGUAGGCGGUUUUUUAAGUCUGAUGUGAAAGCCCACGGCUCAACCGUGGAGGGUCAUUGGAAACUGGAAAACUUGAGUGCAGAAGAGGAAAGUGGAAUUCCAUGUGUAGCGGUGAAAUGCGCAGAGAUAUGGAGGAACACCAGUGGCGAAGGCGACUUUCUGGUCUGUAACUGACGCUGAUGUGCGAAAGCGUGGGGAUCAAACAGGAUUAGAUACCCUGGUAGUCCACGCCGUAAACGAUGAGUGCUAAGUGUUAGGGGGUUUCCGCCCCUUAGUGCUGCAGCUAACGCAUUAAGCACUCCGCCUGGGGAGUACGACCGCAAGGUUGAAACUCAAAGGAAUUGACGGGGACCCGCACAAGCGGUGGAGCAUGUGGUUUAAUUCGAAGCAACGCGAAGAACCUUACCAAAUCUUGACAUCCUUUGACAACUCUAGAGAUAGAGCCUUCCCCUUCGGGGGACAAAGUGACAGGUGGUGCAUGGUUGUCGUCAGCUCGUGUCGUGAGAUGUUGGGUUAAGUCCCGCAACGAGCGCAACCCUUAAGCUUAGUUGCCAUCAUUAAGUUGGGCACCCUAAGUUGACUGCCGGUGACAAACCGGAGGAAGGUGGGGAUGACGUCAAAUCAUCAUGCCCCUUAUGAUUUGGGCUACACACGUGCUACAAUGGACAAUACAAAGGGCAGCGAAACCGCGAGGUCAAGCAAAUCCCAUAAAGUUGUUCUCAGUUCGGAUUGUAGUCUGCAACUCGACUACAUGAAGCUGGAAUCGCUAGUAAUCGUAGAUCAGCAUGCUACGGUGAAUACGUUCCCGGGUCU